ACUCCAUAUAAAAUAAACAAACGGAAAUAGUUACCGAAAUGUGUUUGCUUCGUCAAAACUUGUUUUUUCAAUCUAGGAAAAUUUACACUUCGGGACGCCCAUUGAGAGCACAAUCACAGUCGCCGUGCAACAAGUCAUUUUCUAAUAAUCGCCAAACUUCUAAUUGUAACUGAGUGUUUGUUAGUGUUAGUGAUGUUGCUCACAUGUAUUUACUCUGGGUGGGAAAAAAUAAAGUGUUUGUGGACGCAUAACAACACAAUCAAUUUGUUCGAAAUAAAAAGGUUUGUGAAACAAUGUGUUGUGCUUUUAGUCUGCAACUACAACAACAAUGUUUGGAUACAAGUGGAAGAUGCUGACAAAGGCUUUUGCAAAGUUGCGCUUAUUUAUAACAGUGAAUAUACUACAAAAUCUAAAUAUUGGUAUAAAUAAAUGCUGAAUGCUUUCUCUUUUUAAA